CCUACGGGGUGCAGCAGUGAGGAAUAUUGGUCAAUGGGCUAAGGCCUGAACCAGCCAAGUCGCGUGAGGGAAGACGGUCCUAUGGAUUGUAAACCUCUUUUGUCGGGGAGCAACGAGGCCACGUGUGGCCGAAGUGAGAGUACCCGAAGAAAAAGCAUCGGCUAACUCCGUGCCAGCAGCCGCGGUAAUACGGAGGAUGCGAGCGUUAUCCGGAUUUAUUGGGUUUAAAGGGUGCGUAGGCGGAUUUUUAAGUCAGCGGUAAAAUGUCCGGGCUCAACCCGGGCCGGCCGUUGAAACUGGGGAUCUUGAGUGGGCGAGAAGUAUGCGGAAUGCGUGGUGUAGCGGUGAAAUGCAUAGAUAUCACGCAGAACUCCGAUUGCGAAGGCAGCAUACCGGCGCCCGACUGACGCUGAGGCACGAAAGCGUGGGGAUCGAACAGGAUUAGAUACCCGGGUAGUC
rnacentral:rRNA from 1 species